CGGGGGGGGCUGCCGGUCCCGCGGGGGCAUUCCCCGUGGCUGAUUUAUCGCUCUGUAGAUGGAAAGAGCUGAGCGCAGCUAUCCGGGCCGCUCGGAGGUGGUGUGGUGCUGAGCAGGAGCCAGCAGGAACAUUUGCGUCUGUGCUUCGGAGGAUUUUGGACAGCCUGCGGUGCCCCCCCUGGGGCCAGCAGUCCUCUUGGGCCAGCAUCCAGCGCAGAGCUGCUGCUCAGAGGUGUUCAGCCCCAGCCCCACUUUGCCACUGAUGUGCAAAGGGCACUUUGGAAGUGGAUGUCUGUGAUCCCAGGGGCCGGACGCAGAGCAGGGAGUGGAAGCUCUCUCUCCUGUUUGUGGAAGCGGCUGCACACGAACCAUCCUCCUUGGGGGGAAUGCUGAUUCCACAGCUAAGUCUCCUCUGUGCAAUAUGAUCCAUUAUGGGAUGGAGACAGCUUUGCGAUGGGAAACGGUAAUGGGCAAAGCGAGAAGUGCAGUUGGUGCCUCUGGGGGAUGGCAGAGCCGACGUCCCCGGGGCUCAUUGCUGCAGCCCCGCUCCCCGUGUGCCCGGAUGUGGCACCAGGAUGGGUGCUGGGAACGCAGCAAGGACAGCACCCGGCUCUGUGUGGUGCCACGUGUGGGGUGAGCCCCAUGCCCUGUGCAGCACAGUGAGGGCCGGGAGGUGAGCGCACACCGCCCCGCUGAAGGCUGCAGAGCUGUGCAUAUGCAGAAUAUGUAUUUUUAAUGCCUUCAAAAAUUUACAGAUCUCAUUAGGACAGCCUGAGCGGGGCGUGCAGUCAGUGCAAAUGCACCGCCUGGAAGAUGGAGUAUUCCCUCCUGUAACAGACCAACACUUUGGACCGGAGUUCUGAAAUCUGCUGCAUUUUGCUGCAGUCUUUCUUUGCAGAUCUCUCCCUCUCCAUUUCUCUCUGUCUCUCUCACACACAUUCGGUCUCUCCUCCUUUUUCCUUCCCUCUCUUUCAUCGUUCCCAUCUCAGAAGUCAGUUUCCUCCUGAAACGCCUGACAUUUACAUCCAGCCAGAACGAGGAGUGUGCUCCUUGUGCCGGCACAUCAGCGCUGCUAUAGGGGCACAGGUCCUUUCAUUACAAAUAAUUAAUUUAACCAUACAUUGCAUAACAUCCUAAAAAGCUUUCUAGGGCAAUCUCAUGCUAGCUGGAUGCACAGCUCCUAUCAAUAUUACAUUACAUUUGGGUACAACCGUUAUGAAGUUUCAUUAAAAAUUUAAUUUGUGGUUUAAAACUGCAGCGUUCCCUACAAAGUGUGGCAGAGAAACCAUUCUGGCUGCUCGAGGUCUGCUCCUGCAUCAGCCAGGACUGCAGGAGAGCUGCAGCAGGGGCCGGGGCUCGGGGUGGCGCUCCCUGUGCUGGCACACACACCAAGAAUCGUUUUACCAUCAGCUGAGCUGUCCUACAGCAGGAACUGGGAGCCGGGAGGGGGAAUGGGGCCCGCCGUCAUGUUUUGUUAAUGAAGUUCUGUUGUGAAUCUUCGGCAGAAGCUUUGAAUGGAGGGCAGGUGUGAAGCAUCCCACAUCCGCCUCUCCGUUUCGGAAUUGAUUUGUACGGUAACUUCUGUCCCUCUCUGCAGGCACCAGAAGGACCAAUGGCUUUUCCUCCGAGAUGGUCCCUGGGCUCAUUUCUGUCCGGGAUUUCCCAGGGUAGGAGGCAGACGACUGCUGUGCAUGCAGCUCCCUGCGCCGUGGGUCUGCCCUCCCCCCCUACCCCAUCCUCCCUGCACUGAGCCAGGCACAAACCUUGGCUCCAUUUAUUAUAACAAACAGCACCGGUUGGUUUUUUCCCUGCCCAACAAAGGAGGGGACAUUUGUAACAGGCGUGGGGCAUUUCAGCAGCCUGCGCAGUCCUGGUGUGUGCUCGAGGUCUCUGCACAAGAUCGCUUCCCCCUGCUGCAGAGAGGAUAAUAAUGGGGAGUGGGUUCCUAAAUCCCUUAAGCUUCUUUGAUAGCUUCAAUAUUUAUCUGUAAUCCUGCUGGUGCUCCGUACAGAAGCAGCCAGGGCCUGGUCCCACCUUGCAGCAUUCCCUUUCCCCAGGAGGAAGGCAGGGCGGGACAGGAGGGAAACAUCAAAAGCCACAGACACUGUUGUGCCCCAGUUUCUUCCUGUGAUUACUUAUUAUUUUGCACAGUCUCUUGCUCUCCUUCUCCCACGCUCUGUGCUCUGUUAUGGUAAUGUCUGUGGAGGCUGGGCAUGCCUCCGUGCCUGAAGGGAGGACAGACAGAUGGCAGGACGGCUCUGAGGGGGUUCCAAGCACGUAUGGGGUGGGGGACGGCUUGUGGGUGUCCGCAGGUCUGUGCACAUGGGUGUCCUGUGAGCCCUGAGCAGGGAGCUCUGCCUGCACGCAGGGAGGAGCUGACAGAGAGCUCUGCUGGCGCUGGAGGGGCAGCUGCUGCCUGUGCCACAGCCACUCUGUGCUGCUGCUGGGGAUAGCUUGGAACACCUGGAUUGAAAUGCAACAAGGCUUUCAAGGCAGGAUAGGUAAAAAUGCCAUAAUGCAGUAGGAAGUCAUUGCAUUUGCCUGCUGUGGGGCACGGCCCUUCUCUAAAGCAUAGCUUUUAGUAGGGGAGUGGAGCUCUUAUGACAUUGAAGGUUCUCUGCCGGCAAGGAUGCCAUUAGGGCUGGGUAUGCUAUUGAUUCCUCUUCCAAGAUAUAAGGCUUAAGAAGCUGCAGAUAGUGGGUGUAACUGGAAUGACCCGGGAGCUGCUGCCAGGCGGUAAGCGGAGCCAGAGGCGUCCGGCUGUGAGCAGAGCUGGAGCUUCCCAGGCUGACACUGCAGCGAGAGGCCGGAGCCCAGCGAGGCCACAGGCAGCACUGGGAUGGGCAGUGGGGACAG
ensembl:lncRNA